UACGGGGGGGGCAAGCGUUGUUCGGAGUUACUGGGCGUAAAGGGCUCGUAGGCGGCCAACUAAGUCAGACGUGAAAUCCCUCGGCUUAACCGGGGAACUGCGUCUGAUACUGGAUGGCUUGAGGUUGGGAGAGGGAUGCGGAAUUCCAGGUGUAGCGGUGAAAUGCGUAGAUAUCUGGAGGAACACCGGUGGCGAAGGCGGCAUCCUGGACCGGCAUUGACGCUGAGGAGCGAAAGCCAGGGGAGCAAACGGG
rnacentral:rRNA from 1 species